rnacentral:rRNA from 1 species
CCUACGGGUGGCAGCAGUGGGGAAUAUUGGACAAUGGGCGAAAGCCUGAUCCAGCAAUGCCGCGUGAGUGAUGAAGGCCUUAGGGUUGUAAAGCUCUUUUACCCGGGAUGAUAAUGACAGUACCGGGAGAAUAAGCUCCGGCUAACUCCGUGCCAGCAGCCGCGGUAAUACGGAGGGAGCUAGCGUUGUUCGGAAUUACUGGGCGUAAAGCGCACGUAGGCGGCUUUGUAAGUUAGAGGUGAAAGCCUGGAGCUCAACUCCAGAAUUGCCUUUAAGACUGCAUCGCUUGAAUCCGGGAGAGGUGAGUGGAAUUCCGAGUGUAGAGGUGAAAUUCGUAGAUAUUCGGAAGAACACCAGUGGCGAAGGCGGCUCACUGGACCGGUAUUGACGCUGAGGUGCGAAAGCGUGGGGAGCAAACAGGAUUAGAUACCCCAGUAGUC